GAAAUUUGGAAAACAAAAACCAAGACAUUUGCUUGCCUAUAUAAAACAGAAAAUCAAGAAUGAUAUCAAUAUUUCUACACAAGUUAUUUUUACAUUCCAAUUAUACAUAUAUAUAUCGUGAUCGUUAUGCGAUAAAGGUGAACAAGGGAUUGAAUUGUACAUAUUUGAAUUCAGGCCAUUUUUUAAUUACAGAUUAUCUAUCCAAUUGCUAUGUAUACAAAAUAAAUUUCAUCCUCAAAUAAAAAUGUUAAUCUUUUUUUAAAAAAUUCAUUUUUUUAAUUUAUUUUUCUAAUUAAAAUUAGGGCUGAUUAUGUCAAUACAAAUGGGUUAGUCUUAGAUCACAAAAAGUU
rnacentral:misc_RNA from 1 species